rnacentral:lncRNA from 1 species
AAGUGUGUGUUCUGGUCGUGACAAUCACAGGAGCCAAGGGGGUUCCCUUACUCAAACCCUAACAAGCACAAAUCAACAAAUUGGAAAGGGGAAUCGAACCCAAAUCAAAAUCCGAGCACAAACUAGUGAUCACCUCAGUGAAGGGAUCAUAAGUUCGAUGCUUGACAAGCUAGGUGAAGGCUUGGGAAGGAAGCGGGUCAAACGAAUCAAGUGUAAAGGAAAAACGAGUUUCGGAUGCAAGGUAAGUAAAACUUACACCCUUUAUGUGGGACACGUAUUUAUUUUAUAAACUAUAAAUGAGAACGAUGUAACAUCCAAAAUAAGGGUUCCGACACGAUUGACACAAGUCGAAACAAGUAUAAAUGAUAAAAACCAUGGCUUAUGGUAAACGGGGCGAAUGGGUGAAUUUGGAAAUUUAAAACCAUGCUUUUAUUCUAAUUUAUGUAAAGGUUUGGUCUUAUAAUCCAAACGGGUCAAAUGGUGAUGAUAACACCAUUUGACAAUAUUGACUAAUGUGAUUGUCAAGUUGUAUGUUAUCAGGAACGAUUAGCAAUUUGAAUAAUUGUGACCCCGUAGAAUAUUGGUUAAUUUAACGCGAGGUAUAUAACGGAUCUAUAGGUUGGCUCGAGCCAGGUACGCAUAUAUAUAGAUUUAUAGUUAAAAAUGCAAUGUUGGUCAAAUAUCUUAGUAAAAGGACCUAUGUCGUAAAAUGAGGAAAUAAGUUGACGAAAGUGCCCUUGAUAGGUAAAUCGGGCAAGCGACCCUUAGAGGUCGUUUAGAUACUAGUAUUAUCAUCAUGUAACUCUUAGACACAUGUAAGAGUUGUAGGCGUCAAAUUUUGGGGGUCAAAUGCCUAUGAACGGGAUAAUCACGUAAGAUGACUAUCCUAAGGGUAAAAAGUAGGAAUGUGAUUCGUUAUGUUAUAUCCACCACAAAAAAAAAUAGUUGUGGUGGAACAUAAGAGGCUAUUUAAAAGUGAGAAGACGAAGUGUAGAAAAGAGAGAGAUAGUUUGAUGCUUAAAUGUACAUAAUUCCCUCUAAACGGGUCAAAAUGAAUUACGCGCGUAGCUUCGGUGUUUGCCACGUAAUUCACAAAACUUAUGAAUCCAAGAUAGAUAUUUUUAGUUAAAUACCUUGGUCUAAGAACUUUGAUUAACUAGAAUCAAGUUUGGGAGGUCUUAAAUACAAACGGGUCAAAUGUUAAUUUUGAACAUUAAGCCGAAUACUUAGAAAUCCAUAAUUUUAUUAGUUUGAAUGUUGGAUUUUAACUCCAUAAGGUGGAGAAUCAAAUUACAAUUACGUAGGAAGAAACGGUACGUCAAACGGAUGAGCGGAUUGAAAGAUACGAAAGGUUUCGUGUCAAAAAAGGCAAAAUGGGAGUUCUGAUACAGGGGCCACCGUAACUUACGGUGCCCACCGUAAGUUACGGUGGGGCUGAAAUCGUUACGGUGAUUGCCUCCUGUGUUACGGGGGAAAAUUUUUAAUUUAGGGGCCACCGUAACUUACGGUGGACACCGUAAGUUACGGUGGAGGCCAGAUUCAAGUAUUUGUUUUUGGAACAAGAUAUCAAUGUUGGAUUUUCCUAAUUUUCCUUGUUGUAUUAGUUAUUUAAUUAUCAAAACUGACUUUUAAGUUGGUUUUGAUCUCAGGUGAAUGUCGAGGGUCCCGGAUGAAGAUCAAGCACCGAGCAAGAACCGAGCACACGUUAAACAAAGCUUCCGCAAUGUUGUUUCGCCGUUAUUCUAAAACGGCGAAUUAAACCACAAUAGGUGGUAUCACUUUAAAUUGUAAAAGUUUUUAACAAACCCGUAUUUUCAGUAUAAUUGUGACUAUAAGUACAUGAUUAUUAGUUUAAAUUAUACGAUAAACGUUAAAUAAUAACAAGGGUGUUACAAGAUGGUAAUCAGAGCUCAAGGUUAAAAGAAUAAAGUGUUCAGUUCGAGGCUUGAUCGCAAAUCCGGUAAGUGUAUGUAUGUUAAUCGUUUAGCGUAUUAAAGUGUUGUAGACAACACAUAGGGUUAUCGUGUAAUACACGUUACCCCAAUUAAAUGAUAGAUAUAGUUAACAACAUUUCAUGCGUUGACACAUAUAGUACAAAAGCCUUGUAUUAGGAUACAGGCAUUUAGGGUAAAGUUGACAUUACUAACUUUUGUGAAUGUCUUGAUUAAAGGACACUUGCAUUUAAAGAUGACAAAGGUUAAACAAAUUAAGAAUGUGAUAGAGGAACAGUCUGAGGCAUGACAAGAGGAACAUGCUCACUAAGGACCAAAUCGCGUAAAGACCGCGAACAAGGUUAAUGGCAAGAGACGCCCGUUGGGGCAAGCAUUAUCAGUUCGAUGCUUGACAAGCUAGGUGAAGGCUUGGGAAGGAAGCGGGUCAAACGAAUCAAGUGUAAAGGAAAAACGAGUUUCGGAUGCAAGGUAAGUAAAACUUACACCCUUUAUGUGGGACACGUAUUUAUUUUAUAAACUAUAAAUGAGAACGAUGUAACAUCCAAAAUAAGGGUUCCGACACGAUUGACACAAGUCGGAACAAGUAUAAAUGAUAAAAACCAUGGCUUAUGGUAAACGGGGCGAAUGGGUGAAUUUGGAAAUUUAAAACCAUGCUUUUAUUCUAAUUUAUGUAAAGGUUUGGUCUUAUAAUCCAAACGGGUCAAAUGGUGAUGAUAACACCAUUUGACAAUAUUGACUAAUGUAAUUGUCAAGUUGUAUGUUAUCAGGAACGAUUAGCAAUUUGAAUAAUUGUGACGCCGUAGAAUAUUGGUUAAGUUAACGCGAGGUAUAUAACGGAUCUAUAGGUUGGCUCGAGCCAGGUGAAUGUCGAGGGUCCCGGAUGAAGAUCAAGCACCGAGCAAGAACCGAGCACACGUUAAACAAAGCUUCCGCAAUGUUGUUUCGCCGUUAUUCUAAAACGGCGAAUUAAACCACAAUAGGUGGUAUCACUUUAAAUUGUAAAAGUUUUUAACAAACCCGUAUUUUCAGUAUAAUUGUGACUAUAAGUACAUGAUUAUUAGUUUAAAUUAUACGAUAAACGU